rnacentral:rRNA from 1 species
AUGAAUCAGUAUGGCAUCUACGUCUACAAUCAGAAGUUGUAUGUAAAAUUUGGACAUACCAUUUGCAGUGGUGCUGAAGCUUUCCUGGCAGAUUUGACAAUUGGCCUCACCAAUCAGAUUCUUCAGAUCGCUGAAGGAAGAAAGAAAAGGCCAGUCACAAUGUUGAAUGGGCAGCCAUUCCAAAUUAAGAAGAGAACAGGUGAAGAUAGUACUAACAUCCGGCAUUCAACGCUGCUCCCAUGGUUGCAGAAUGGGCAGGAAAAGACGGUAUCGAGCUUGUCCAUCCGCUUCCUAGGGGGUGGCUUAGCGGCCGCCUUCCUCUUCCCCAUGGUUCGGCUUCUGUCCUUCCUUCAAAAUCUACAAAGAGCAGCAGUUAGAAUCUACUGUAUCUAUGAAAUGACGAUGAGACGUUUAAAACACUAA